UCCCUGGUGCCUCAGAUGGUCAAGAACCUGCCUGCAAUGCAGGAGACCUGAGUUCGAUCCCUGGCUGGGGAA
rnacentral:tRNA from 1 species